UACGUAGGGAGCAAGCGUUGUCCGGAAUCAUUGGGCGUAAAGCGCGCGUAGGUGGCCCUGUAAGUCCGUUGUGAAAGUCAAAGGCUCAACCUUUGAAAGCCGAUGGAUACUGCAGGACUAGAGUACGGAAGAGGCGAGUGGAAUUCCUGGUGUAACGGUGGAAUGCGCAGAUAUCAGGAGGAACACCAAUAGCGAAGGCAGCUCGCUGGGACGUUACUGACACUGAGGCGCGAAAGCGUGGGGAGCGAACAGG
rnacentral:rRNA from 1 species